rnacentral:rRNA from 1 species
AGCGAACGCUGGCGGCAUGCUUAACACAUGCAAGUCGCGCGGCCAGCAAUGGCAGCGGCGGACGGGUGAGUAACGCGUAGGAAUGUGUCCAGAGGUGGGGGACAACCCCGGGAAACUGGGGCUAAUACCGCAUAUGUCCUGAGGGACAAAGCAGUAAUGCGCCUUUGGAGCAGCCUGCGUCCUAUUAGGUAGUUGGUGGGGUAAUGGCCUACCAAGCCUGAGAUCGGUAGCUGGUCUGAGAGGACGAUCAGCCACACCGGGAAUGAGACACGGCCCGGACUCCUACGGGAGGCAGCAGUGGGGAAUAUUGGACAAUGGGGGCAACCCUGAUCCAGCAAUGCCGCGUGUGUGAAGAAGGUCUUCGGAUCGUAAAGCACUUUCGGCGGGGACGAUGAUGACGGUACCCGCAGAAGAAGCCCCGGCUAACUUCGUGCCAGCCGCCGCCGUAAGAC